rnacentral:lncRNA from 8 species
AUGGAGGGAUUGUGCGUUCCUGGUGUAACUCAGAAAGUUGUUGUUGCCAUCCUGUACCUGUCCCGCAGGUGUGAUGUUCAGAUGUACCAAUCCUGUGCAGGUGUUGUACCGAUCCUGUGCCACUGCGAGGACGAUCAGCUGUCCAUCCUGUCUCCCUGUAGCGCUGUCUUAGGCGUCUCACAGUACGGACAUUGCAAUUUAUUGCCCUGGCCACAUCUGCAGUUCUCAUGCCUUCUUGCAGCAUGCCUAAGGCAUGUUCACGCAGAUGAGCAGGGACCCUGGGCUGUAGUGGUAACAGGGUGUUUCUACAGAGCUGUAGUAGUAACAGGGUGUUUCUACAGAGCUGUAGUGGUAACAGGGUGUUUCUACAGAGCUGUAGUAGUAACAGGGUGUUUCUACAGAGCUGUAGUGGUAACAGGGUGUUUCUACAGAGCUGUAGUAGUAACAGGGUGUUUCUACAGAGCUGUAGUAGUAACAGGGUGUUUCUACAGAGCUGUAGUAGUAACAGGGUGUUUCUACAGAGCUGUAGUAGUAACAGGGUGUUUCUACAGAGCUGUAGUAGUAACAGGGUGUUUCUACAGAGCUGUAGUAGUAACAGGGUGUUUCUACAGAGCUGUAGUAGUAACAGGGUGUAUCUACAGAGCUGUAGUAGUAACAGGGUGUUUCUACAGAGCUGUAGUAGUAACAGGGUGUUUCUACAGAGCUGUAGUAGUAACAGGGUGUUUCUACAGAGCUGUAGUGGUAACAGGGUGUUUCUACAGAGCUGUAGUAGUAACAGGGUGUUUCUACAGAGCUGUAAUGGUAACAGGGUGUUUCUACAGAGCUGUAGUGGUAACAGGGUGUUUCUACAGAGCUGUAGUGGUAACAGGGUGUUUCUACAGAGCUGUAGUAGUAACAGGGUGUUUCUACAGAGCUGUAGUAGUAACAGGGUGUUUCUACAGAGCUGUAGUAGUAACAGGGUGUUUCUACAGAGCUGUAGUAGUAACAGGGUGUUUCUACAGAGCUGUAGUAGUAACAGGGUGUUUCUACAGAGCUGUAGUAGUAACAGGGUGUUUCUACAGAGCUGUAGUAGUAACAGGGUGUUUCUACAGAGCUGUAGUAGUAACAGGGUGUUUCUACAGAGCUGUAGUAGUAACAGGGUGUUUCUACAGAGCUGUAGUAGUAACAGGGUGUUUCUACAGAGCUGUAGUAGUAACAGGGUGUUUCUACAGAGCUGUAGUAGUAACAGGGUGUUUCUACAGAGCUGUAGUAGUAACAGGGUGUUUCUACAGAGCUGUAAUAGUAACAGGGUGUUUCUACAGAGCUGUAGUAGUAACAGGGUGUUUCUACAGAGCUGUAGUAGUAACAGUGUCGCUUUGUUUGAAAGACUAUUCAACUGCCUAA